GAUGAAGAACGCAGCGAAAUGCGAUAAGUAGUGUGAGUUGCAGAAUUCAGUGAAUCAUCGAAUCUUUGAACGCACAUUGCGCCCCUUGGUAUUCCAUGGGGCAUGCCUGUUCGAGCGUCAUUUGUACCUUCAAGCUCUGCUUGGUGUUGGGUGUUUGUCUCGCCUCUGCGUGUAGACUCGCCUCAAAACAAUUGGCAGCCGGCGUAUUGAUUUCGGAGCGCAGUACAUCUCGCGCUUUGCACUCAUAACGACGACGUCCAAAAGUACAUUUUUACACUCUUGACCUCGGAUCAGGUAGGGAUACCCGCUGAACUUAAGCAUAUCAAUAAGCGGAGGA
rnacentral:misc_RNA from 1 species